rnacentral:rRNA from 1 species
GAUGAACGCUAGCUACAGGCUUAACACAUGCAAGUCGAGGGGAAACGAUAGAGAAAGCUUGCUUUUUCUAGGCGUCGACCGGCGCACGGGUGAGUAACGCGUAUCCAACCUGCCCAUCACUUGGGGAUAACCUUGCGAAAGUAAGACUAAUACCCAAUGAUAUCUCUAGAAGACAUCUGAAGGAGAUUAAAGAAUUAUCGGUGAUGGAUGGGGAUGCGUCUGAUUAGCUUGUUGGCGGGGUAACGGCCCACCAAGGCGACGAUCAGUAGGGGUUCUGAGAGGAAGGUCCCCCACAUUGGAACUGAGACACGGUCCAAACUCCUACGGGAGGCAGCAGUGAGGAAUAUUGGUCAAUGGACGAGAGUCUGAACCAGCCAAGUAGCGUGCAGGAUGACGGCCCUAUGGGUUGUAAACUGCUUUUAUAAGGGAAUAAAGUGAGUCUCGUGAGACUUUUUGCAUGUACCUUAUGAAUAAGGACCGGCUAAUUCCGUGCCAGCAGCCGCCGCCG